rnacentral:rRNA from 1 species
CCCUUAGAUGUUCUGGGCCGCACGCGCGCUACACUGAUGCAUUCAACGAGUCUAAAACCUGCUCUGAUAGGGGUGGGUAAUCUUUUGAAUGUGCAUCGUGAUUGGGAUAGAUGAUUGCAAUUUUUCAUCUUCAACGAGGGAUGCCUAGUAAACGCAAGUCAUCAGCUUGCAUUGAUUACGUCCCUGCCCUUUGUACACACCGCCCGUCGCUCCUACCGAUUGAAUGAUCCGAUGAAUAUCAUGGAUUGAGGAUGCAAGCAGGUUCGCCUGUCUUCAUCUUCGAGAAGUGAAGUAAAUCUUAUCAUUUAGAGGAAGGAGAGGUCGUAACA